AUUUAAUUAAAACUAGAAUGUCAAGGGUCUUCGAAAAAAUGAUUUAAAAAGAUUUCUCUUUCGGAUGAAGAAACGAGUAUAUCGAAGCCCGUGGCGACAAUUUCGCGCUUCGCUGAGAAGCUUCACUCUGUUUUCAAUUUUACUUGACACGAUAUGCCAGACCUUUUACAUCAAAACGUAAUACUUUAAUCCUAACAUAUAUCUCCGUAACGUUCAGAGUAUCACGUUCGCAAAACCGUGACCGAUGAUUUACUCGUAAAAACGCCAGCGCGACGUUAAAAGAUUGUAAAACGGUGGCGCGUGAAAAACACCACCCUCCCCCAUUACGUAUUAUUUAUUUAACGCGCUUCUCUUUCCUGACAAACAAGGUCUUUACGUGCGGCAUUAUCUGGCAAUCGGCGGGAAUAGGGAAGCGGCCUACUUUUGUCUAUUCAUCACCUCCGCGCGAUUAAUCCCGUGUUUUGAAUUCUUGGCACUUUCCACGUGAUAAAGUCGUGAUCGCCGUCGUCGUCGCCGUCUUGGGAAUAUAAAAUAAAAUGAGCAAUUCCGUAUUAUCCCCGGAAAAUGUAGGCGACGACGAUUGCAGCGAAACACAAACAGAUUCAAUGCGCAAUCCGCUAUUUGUGUGAACGACAACGGGGUCCAUAUCUGAUCGGAAACAAAUUUGAUGUGCGUAAAUAGCUACGUAAUCAGAUCGACGAUCGUAAGGUAUUUAAAGUGUCACUUGAGAUAUAUUUCUUAUCCAGGAUAAAUAAGUAUCGUGAUUGCGACUAUCCGAUUUGAGUUGUCUAGAUUUAAUCUCAGCCAUGAUAACUGAGAAUUCCUUUAUUUGGGUGCCACCGAUUAAUCCUAUCGUCUACUAAUUGCGUAGUGAUGUAAUACAGGAAAACACAAAGAAUCGCAGCUACCAAGAUCGUUGUCUUUGGAAGAGAGAUUGAAAGAUUAUUCGAUUAUAUUGGCUCGCACCGAGGAUUAAAGAAGAUUAGUCUCUUUUUAAUCAUUAUUGCCGCAAGGAGUUUCUCAUCAAUUCACACAAAUCAUCAAUUCGCUCGCCCCUGCUUGUGAUCGAACGUAUAAAUGCUUGAAGGGAAGAGAGAACAGAUACAUUUCUCACCCUCCUCAGAGAGAUGCUGAAGAGGCGCGUGCGGUGGUCGAUCUUGGAGUACCACGGAAGCCCUUCGAAAUCGGAGCGAGAUAUGUCAACGAAGGGGUGCGAUAUUUUUUCACGGGUGACAACGGUCUCACCAUUCACCACUUUCGGUGGCCGCGACCCUAACUGCUUUGGGUACGAUGCGAUAUUUAGGCGAAUAUGGGCCAAUAGCAAAGGAAUGCGCAGGGUCGACAAUAGAUUCUUCAGCGCCACGAUAGAUUCUUUGACGAGCAACACACGAAUGAAGGAAUCGAGCAAUAUCAACAAAUAUCAAAAAAACCCUCGUCGCUUCCCUGUUGAUGUUUUAGAUAAAAUUAAUCGGAAUUUAUGAAAAAGGCUUAAGAUACUUCUUCCUUUAAUAGAGACAAUAUCAAGUCGAUAACAUCUAAUUCUGAGGAAGAAAGGAACAGAGAAAGAUAUGGAAUUUAAUCUUAUUCGCAAAUUGCACAUAAUAUAAUAUUGAAAAUAAUGAAGCUAUAAGUUUACGAUGUUUGUACAAUUCAAGUUAAAAAAA